rnacentral:rRNA from 1 species
CCGCUGGCGGCGUGCUAAUACAUGCAGUCGAGUGGACUUUUGGGAGCUGCUCCCAAAAGUUAGCGGCGGACGGGUGAGUAACACGUGGGCAACCUGCCUAUAAGACUGGGAUAACUUCGGGAAACCGGAGCUAAUACCGGAUAAUUCUUUUCCUCACAUGAAGGGAAGCUGAAAGACGGUUUCGGCUGUCACUUACAGAUGGGCCCGCGGCGCAUUAGCUAGUUGGUGAGGUAACGGCUCACCAAGGCAACGAUGCGUAGCCGACCUGAGAGGGUGAUCGGCCACACUGGGACUGAGACACGGCCCAGACUCCUACGGGAGGCAGCAGUAGGGAAUCUUCCGCAAUGGACGAAAGUCUGACGGAGCAACGCCGCGUGAGCGAUGAAGGCCUUCGGGUCGUAA